GGACUACUGGGGUAUCUAAUCCUGUUUGCUCCCCACGCUUUCGUGCAUGAGCGUCAGUCAUGUCCCAGGGGGCUGCCUUCGCCAUCGGUAUUCCUCCACAUAUCUACGCAUUUCACUGCUACACGUGGAAUUCUACCCCCCUCUGACAGACUCUAGCUUGCCAGUCACAAACGCAGUUCCCAGGUUAAGCCCGGGGCUUUCACAUCUGUCUUAACAAACCGCCUGCGCACGCUUUACGCCCAGUAAUUCCGAUUAACGCUCGCACCCUACGUAUUACCGCGGCGGCUGGCAC
rnacentral:rRNA from 1 species